rnacentral:rRNA from 1 species
GACGAACGCUGGCGGCGUGCCUAAUACAUGCAAGUAGAACGCUGAAGGAGGAGCUUGCUUCUCCGGAUGAGUUGCGAACGGGUGAGUAACGCGUAGGUAACCUGCCUGGUAGCGGGGGAUAACUAUUGGAAACGAUAGCUAAUACCGCAUAACAGUAGAUAUUGCAUGAUAUCUGCUUGAAAGGUGCAAUUGCAUCACUACCAGAUGGACCUGCGUUGUAUUAGCUAGUUGGUGGGGUAACGGCUCACCAAGGCGACGAUACAUAGCCGACCUGAGAGGGGGGUCGGCCACACUGGGACUGAGACACGGCCCAGACUCCUACGGGAGGCAGCAGUAGGGAAUCUUCGGCCAUGGACGGAAGUCUGACCGAGCAACGCCGCGUGAGUGAAGAAGGUUUUCGGAUCGUAAAGCUCUGUUGUAAGAGAAGAACGAGUGUGAGAGUGGAAAGUUCACACUGUGACGGUAUCUUACCAGAAAGGGACGGCUAACUACGUG